rnacentral:rRNA from 1 species
CUAGCAGUAAACGAUGAAUACUAGGUGUGCGGGGAAAUUGACCCCCUGCGUGCCGCAGCUAACGCAUUAAGUAUUCCGCCUGGGANCGCAACGCGAAGAACCUUACCAGGGUUUGACAUUCAGUGUUCAGGGGCGGAAACGUCCUGGCCGCAAGGCGAACUGGACAGAUGC